rnacentral:tRNA from 1 species
CAAACUAUAGCUAACUAGCGCUUCCCUUAUACCGAAGAUUCAUCAGUAUAGCCAGAUUGUUCACA